AAUGACAAAGAUUUCGAGAUCAGCUAAGUGAUUCACAGUUCUUUGCUUUUCCUAAGUUGGAGCUUUGAGGCUUAAUGCUGCUUUUUGGUCUUACAGAAGGAGAAGAUACAGGAGAAAGUGACUUAACCGAGGAUGUGCAGGAUAUCAGAGGAACGUCUUAGGGGCCUAUGAAGACUAAUUGUAGCUUUCCAACUUGCUAAUCACACUUCUCAACUGAUCGCAAGACCCAAAUCUUCCUGUAUUUGGACAGCUUCUAUCUGAUACUUCAGAAAUGACUCCCAGCAUGCUUGAAAUGCAUUUGGGUUUUGGGAAAGGCCAUGCAGAGGUGUGGCUGAGGAGAGAGACUCUGUGAAACAAGAAAGAUGGUGGGACGGUGAGGCAUAUGAGCCUUUCCUUGGACUCAGCUUUGCAGGUUGAAUACUACUCAGUGAUUUUGAGAAGCGAGCUGACAGAGUACCACCAGAGCAGUUUCACACAGGCUACAGUUUCAGUGACCAAACACAGCAAAAGUGUGCAUAGAUACCAGAUAAGAUUGGGAAGUGGAAACAGCCAGGGGGUGUAUACUUAGAAGGCCAAGCUACCAGCUGUUGUACCCUCUGUGACCUCCAGCUAAGACGGUUGAGAAACAUUACCGAGAGGAAUAUGGAAGAAAUUCCCAAGUACCCAGGAAAAUAGUAGAUGCCUGUUUCUCGGGGAGGAAAACUCCUGGGGCAUACAUGGGGGAGCCCUCGAAAAGUGGCUGAGUGGUCAUCUUUGGACUUCACAGAAUCACAGGGAUGGAAAGGUGGAUCAGCGCUGGGGUGGGGAGCGGGAGGUGCUGUGUUGUGUUGGGGCCAGCAGGUGUUGAUAGGGGAGGAGAGUUCCGCCCCACGGCCCCUGCUUUGUGGGGCUCCGCAGCCCUCGAGUCUCUCUCGUCUCCUGUUUAGCAUCUACAUGAAGUUGCUGGAUGAGGCCACCCCAUGGCCUGGUGAGCUAGCUCAGUGCACCGAUGAUGCCCGGCUUUACCUCUCCACCCCGGCCGCCCAGAUGGAGGUUCUGCCUCAGUGUCUGGAGGCUGUGGGGGUCUGGAUGGGAAACAACAGGCUUCAACUUAACCCUGGCAAGGCUGAGUGGUUUUGGGUAUUAGGGCCCCCUGUUUCUGGGGAUUUCCUGCCUUUAAUUCUGGGUGGGGCUGCACUUCCCCAAAUAGAACCCGUGCACAAUUUGGGGGUCCUCCUGGGCUCAGGGCUCCUGUUCAAGGAAU